rnacentral:lncRNA from 1 species
UUGAGAGAGAAUGUUAUGGCCCUGGUUAGCCUGGAGCAUAGGGUUCUCCAGAGUGAAGGAUUAGAGGAAUGUGCCAACAGCCCCAGAUCUCCACAGUGGUCUUGACUGUCAUCCUGCUUUGUUAGUAGUGUUAACUUUUUUCAUAUUCACGGGGUUUGCCAUUGAGUUUAUGAUCCUUGUAUAUAGUGGGUAUUUCUUAUCACAUGAAUCAUUUCCCAACAUUUUCCCCCAUCCCACCAUCCUCCACUGCUGCUUCGGUAGCUCCUGUCCUCACAUCACAAUCCUCAGCUGUGACUUUGUCUCAGUGUAUGCAGCUCUCGGGGGCUUAGGUCAGUCAGUCUUGAAGGACUAGAGCUAAGGCAGGGCUCUCCCGGGUGCUGGGUUCUAGGUCAGGAGCCUGAGCAAGCACAGGUAGCCUGCCUGUGCCUUUUAGGGUAACAAGGUACUAUGUAUUGUAAAUGAAAGUGAACCAAGAAACGAAGUGAAUCUUGAGACCAUUUUGUACUUUGCAUGCAAUAUGGCGAGGCUUCUGGGACAGUAAAUAGAUGGAAUUUUCUGUACUGAGUUAAGUUUGCUAGUUAACUGAGGUAACAGAAAGGAAGGAGUCUGCAAACAUGUUAUUUACAUAUACAUACAUAUGCAUGUAUGUAUAUGUAGUACACACACACAGAGACGCAUUCCUAUUCUGUGUUUUUUCUACUUUCAGAUAUGCAGGAACUGUACGGGUUCCUUCGACCGACAUAUCCCUUGUGUUUCUCUCAACUGCCCAGUACUUUUCAAACUCUCACGAGUAAACAGAGAAUUAUCCAAGGCACCGUACCUGCGGCAGUUACUGGACCAGUUCUAGGUUAGCAGAGUCAGUGUCACAGAGCUCCCGGUGCUAUUCGUUCAGUGUU